UUCCCUCAUUCAUAUUGUUAUUUUGUAUCUAUGCAAUAUCUGGACGAUAAGUAUCCUCAACAUCCUUUGCUACCUAGUGAUAUUCACAAAAGAGCAAUCAAUUUCCAGGUACACCUGCUCUGUGUCAGUUAGUGGUUGCAAACUCUAAUGAAUGCGUUGCCUUCUAAGUUCUAAUCAUGUCAUCUCAUCCACAAGCUACCCACAUCGUUUCCUCGUCCAUACAUCCUCUUCAAAACAUAAGCUUUCUGAAUUACAUCGGGGAAAAAGUCGGCCCUGACGAAAAGCUUCCUUGGGUACAAGGUGUCCUUAGAAAGGGCUUCACAGCACUCGAAAAACUCUUGAAGGACCACAUGGGAAGAUAUGCAACGGGAGAUGAAAUCUCCUGG